AUGGAGGUUUUGUUUCCAUGUAGAUCCAUCUGUCUGGGCUGUAGCUGGAUUCUACACCUAAUGAUCUUGUGUUCUCACACUCUUCUUUGGGCAACUGUUCCUGAAGCACUGACUCAACAUGGAUGCCUGCUGCUCUUUUCUCAAGAAACCAUUUGGAUGAUCUGUGGUGUGCACUAUAAGGCUGUUUCCCUCAACAUCUUCUUCCUGAAGAAAAGGGGUGGGGGUGUCAUUACCAGCUGUAUUUUGAUAUUGAAGAGAAGAAAGAGAAAAAUAAAUUGCGAGCUUUGAGACCCUAAGCUGAGGUCCCUUGUUCUCAGCCUCACACACUUAGGACCGCAGCCCACCAGCCUCUUUUGGAAAAGAAGGACAAUCCAAUUGUAAAUAUGAUCUGUGCUCCUGAGAACAUUUGAAUGGUAAUACUCAAGCAAUUACUUUCCUUUCAAGAUCAUUAAACACAAAUCAGACUUGUAUUUUAAUAGGGCUGCCAGUGUGGCUAAUGGCAGGGAGGGCAGCAUAAAGGGUACAUUUUUCCUCUAAUGGGUGAAUGUUUACAUUAUUACCCUUUCUGAGGAGCAGAGUUGGGCGAAACUGCUCCAAGCUUCAGGACCAUUUCUUUGCUUUCUUUCAUUCCAUAAUUCAAGACCCUUCUUUUGCCCAAAAGCAUCUUCAGAGAACAUAUGAGGGGUAGCCAUUGUAUAGAGGGACAGAAAAGCUCCUCCCUGGCCCUUACCCCCUGGGGCACCCAUACACCAAUUCUUUGGGUGACCCAGCAGAGUCUGCACAAAGGGGGUGGUUUCCUGGGGACUGGGGAGAGCAGGGGCUUCCUAUGAGAGGCUUCUCUGCAACUGGGAUCUUGGAGUGACACCAUUUCCUUUCUAUUGUAGGGACCAGAAGUACUAGUGACAUUUAUGGAAGCACCUCUGGGGACCAGGAAGACAACAUCUACCAAGGUAGAAGUUGGACACUGGAGUCUGCAAAGGCUCUUUCAGAAGGUACAUUUGUCAGAGCUGCUGGCACCAGGAGUAAGGAUGCUACACUGUUACCCAGCUCUGUUCCUCCUGGCUGUCCUAUGAUCCCUCUCCUGGAUCCUGAUGAAAGUGGCAUGGCUGCUAUGGAGUGAGACUUUAGGCUCACCCAGGAGUCAGUAAGUCCCCAAACAAUCCUCUUGUCUGGCAGUGGGAGCUGACAAUCUUUUGCCUGAUGCCUUUCAUGGUGCACUGGGAAAUCAAACUGAAGAUAGAAACUUUGACUUCUGGGUACAGCAGAAGAUGCUCUUUGAACAUGUGGU
rnacentral:lncRNA from 1 species